rnacentral:rRNA from 1 species
CAAUAGCGUAUAUUAAAGUUGUUGCGGUUAAAAAGCUCGUAGUUGGAUUUCUGCCGAGGACGACCGGUCCGCCCUCUGGGUGAGCAUCUGGCUCGGCCUGGGCAUCUUCUUGGAGAACGUAUCUGCACUUGACUGUGUGGUGCGGUAUCCAGGACUUUUACUUUGAGGAAAUUAGAGUGUUUCAAGCAGGCAUACGCCUUGAAUACAUUAGCAUGGAUAAUAGAUAGGACUCGGUCUAUUUGUUGGUUCUAGAGCUGAGGUAAUGAUUAAUAGGGAUAAGUUGGGGGCAUUUCGUAUUUAACUGUCAGAGGUGAAAAUUCUUGGAUUUGUUAAAGACGGACUUACUGCGAAAGCAUUUGCCAAGGAUGUUUUCAUUGAUCAAGAACGAAAGUUAGGGGAUCGAAGAUGAUUAGAUACCA